ACAACAAACCACAACACAAAAAACCCUUCACACAAAAAACCCUCGAAAUCUUUCAGGGACAGGAUUUAAUAAGUCCUUUCAUGAUCUACCAUCCUACUUCAUCCAACUUUUGCCUCUGAGACUUCCCUUCCUAUCCUACCAUGAUUCCAGGUAAUCUGCACUGUCAAGAGUCCCUGGCAUGAGGCUCCAUAGGCCAUCUUAGGAUAAAUUAUGAGAGAAAGAACAACAUGUUGAGAAUGAAGACUAGAUCUCAUUCAACCCAAUGUUUUUUGCCAACCACUGAAGAACAGCCCUUAGGAUCCAGAGGAAGCUACAGAAGCAGCUGACCCCUUAGUUUAUGGCAAUGCUGGGAAGGGAGGCAGGGGGGUGAAAGAGGAGACCAGUAGCUGCACAAGCUCUCCUCUAAAUCUAGUCAAGAAGAGAAUAAAAUAGUUCAGUUGGAAGAGAUCUGGAGCAAUCAUCUCGUCCAACUGCAAUAUUCACUGGCCACAUUACUAAAUCUAUUUUGUGCUAAGGACUCUUUAUAUCUACACAUGACAGGUAGCCUCAUGCUUUUGACACCAUUACUUGAAAAGCUUGCAGUUUCUUCUGCAGGCUAAAGCUCUUUGUGCAAUAGAAGUUUAAAGGACUCUUCAGCCAAGUGCAGGGUACACUAAGGGUACCCUUUCGUUUCCGCUCUUGUGCCACAUGUUUUGAAUAUAUGAAUCAGCACAGAAAGGAAUAUCACUUUGUGAACUUGUGAACACAGCAAGCCUUGGCAACAUGCAUUAAAUAUGUGGGUGAAAUUCCCAGGAUCAUGGUAUGAUUCACUCAUAUUGGGUAACUCUUUAAUUGGUCAGUUAUUUUCAAAUGGAAAAAUUGCAGCUGACUAGCUUGUUGGUAAGAACGUGUUAUGAGUAUGUUAAUAAUAAUUCCAUUAUUAUAAUUCACCAAAAAUAACCCUUAUGUGAUUUCAAGAGACAGUGGCAUCCAUUAAAAACACAGCUGAUGUGUCACCUCUCUAACUCUAGAGGACAAAGUUCACUGUGCUUAAUCACCUGCCCUCCAUUGUAGACAAGAAUAUUUAGGAUGCCUUAAUUUUGCUUUUAAUGUCUCUCAGGAAUGGCUGGUGAAAUGCCAUAUGUCUUUCUUUUUGGCAUGAUAGAUUUUUCCAUUAUACUGCUAUAUCUAAGCCAGCAAGGAGGGAUGCUCCAUACUGAGAGAUCUUGAAACACGAAUAUUGGAAUUAUCCCUACUGUCGUUGUGAGACUAUCAGGAGAAGGAUUUCCUGUCAAGUUUUCCACACAAAAGACAUUAUUACUAAAAUACAUUGUUUAAAAUAUUUCUGUUCUUUUAAUAAGUAUUGUUUGACAUAUGCCUUCAUAAGGGAAAACAAAGGUUUCAGUGGAGCAGUUAUUAUUAUUGUGAAUAUAUAAAUAUUUAUUAUUAUUACAUCACAUUGUUAUUAUUGUGAGCAUGUGAAUAUCUCCUGGAAAUGUAUGCAUCUUGUAUUUGUUCUUCCCACAGUUUAGCACGUGGGAGCUUCAGUAUGUUAUAGAAUCUGGUAUGCUGGAAUCAGUCAUAGAGAGUUGUAGCCUCAGUUGUCUGUUUUGACUGUAUUAAACAAUUCGAAAAUGAUUGGGUGGUUUCAAAUUUCAUACUGUGUAUGAAACAGAGAUGAGAAAAGUCCUAUUUUGUUGAGGGAGGCAGAGAUAAAUGUGGGCAGGCCCUGAGCUGACCUGAGUGACUCCCAAAAGCUUUGUUUGAGUACAAAGACUAAGACAGGCUAGUCCAAGGUGCAUAGCAUAAUAUCUUAGCAAUGGAAGAAUGAUCUGAAUGAAGUAUUACUAUCAAGACAGACCUUAAAGACAAAGUCAAGGAAGAAGGCAAGUCCUGAAAGGCUAAAGCAGUAUACUUUAAGAUACUUGGUGCACAGAAAAAGAGGUGUAUAAACCUCACCAGUAUAGGGAUACACACGGCAAAAGGUACCUAAAACUCAUGCUAAGCAAAAAAAUAGAUGUUACAGAGAAGGCUUAUCUAUUGUUAACUAUGCUUGUAUUAGGAAUGAGAUUUUUAUAUCUUAAUUGAUGUAAAAUGUACAUAAUCUGGUCCACUUUUACUGUUACUACAGUUCAACAUAGGAAAUAAUUUCUGCCAUAUGAUGAGAAAAUAAAAUCUUGGUAUGGAUCACUUCAAAAUGGAAUUUUUUGAAGUAAGAUAUACAAGGUUAUUAAUUUUACCUCUCUUUUAAACCCAAUUAAUCUUUUCAUCUCUUGAGAGUGUCCAUAGCAGCGACUGGGGUAUUCCUUUGGUCUCUCCUAAAUAAAGGAAUUUCCCCACUGGGAACACU